UUUGGUUCACUGUAGACCGAUCCUACAAGGCAUUUCAUGACAUAGUCACUCAUCAAACAGGUAGUAGUCUUGAAAACAUAAAUGAUAUUAAUGGUAUUGGAGAUGAAGAAGGUGAAGACAAAGAAGCUGAAGUUAUUAAUAGGUAAGUAGAACAGUCUCAAAAACAAGUGAGGAGAAGUAUCAAAAACGGUAAAAAGCAAGUCACUGGGGAAUUACCUAAAAAGGUAAUACCGAAGAGAAAUGUGGGGACAAAUAAAAUCAGUCAAUAAAGAUGAAAGCAAUUUUUUGGAAUAUAAGGUCUGUUAAUACUCAACAAGCAUUCACUAGACUCCAAAUACUUAAUAGAAAUCAUAAAUUUUUCAUAAUAUCUCUUAUGAAGCCUUUCCAACAAGUUGGCCAGAUCCAAAGAUUUAGGAGAAAAUUAAAUAUGCACAGUACUGAAG
rnacentral:lncRNA from 1 species